rnacentral:rRNA from 1 species
GUGGGGAAUAUUGGGCAAUGGGGGAAACCCUGACCCAGCAACGCCGCGUGAAGGAAGAAGGUUUUCGGAUCGUAAACUUCUAUCCUUGGUGAAGAUAAUGACGGUAGCCAAGAAGGAAGCCCCGGCUAACUACGUGCCAGCAGCCGCGGUAAUACGUAGGGGGCAAGCGUUGUCCGGAAUGAUUGGGCGUAAAGGGCGCGUAGGCGGCCUGGUAAGUCUGGAGUGAAAGUCCUGCUUUUAAGGUGGGAAUUGCUUUGGAUACUGUCGGGCUUGAGUGCAGGAGAGGUAAGCGGAAUUCCCGGUGUAGCGGUGAAAUGCGUAGAGAUCGGGAGGAACACCAGUGGCGAAGGCGGCUUACUGGACUGUAACUGACGCUGAGGCGCGAAAGUGUGGGGAGUAAACAGGAUUAGAUACCCGUGUAGUCC